CCCGCCUCUCGCUCCGCCCGCCCGGCCGGCUGCUCCUCCGCCCGCGCCGCCCGCAGCUCCGCCCGCCGCCCAAGCCUUGGCUAGGCGCGCGCGCGCACGGGGUCGGGCGCUCCCGGGCGGCGGUGGCACCACGUAGCCGCCUCCUUCCACCGCUCGCUUUAUCCCCGCCCCUUCUCGGGCCAACCCCAAGCGCCGCUGACCCCGAACGUCGCUGCGGGGUAGGUAGGGGGUGGGAGGGUGGAGGACCGCAGGCGAGAGGGAGAAGGAAGGGCGCCCGGGGAGCAGGCUGGCAGAGUGACCGGGAUUGAUGAGCGGCGCAGCUCUGGAGGGACGCGGGCGAGAGGGUCGCUCCUCGGGGAGAGGGCUGGAUAGAUGGAAUGUACAGCCAGAGGAUUGGAUGAGGUCAUCGACGGAGAGAAUGCAGAGAGAAUCCUGGGGCUCACCAACAUGAAGAAUUUGGGACAAGAAAGAAGAUCCAGCAGAGAAGACUGAAAGAAGGCAACUAAUGAAAUAGGAGAGAACCUGGAGAGCACAGAGUCUUAGAGGCCAAGAAAGUGGUUUAAUAUAAUCCGUAUCAAAGCAUUUGUGGUUUAUUUUUGUUAACUGACAAAAGGAUUCUAAAACAUACCUGAAAAGUAUAAUUCACACCUAGGAUAAUGGAUCAUUCUGUCACAUUGUUCCUUUUUCACAGCUGAUAUGAACAUGAUAUUUUCAUGACUUUGUAAAAUAAAAAUGGAAUCUUUCUAAUUUUUUUAAAAAAACUGCUUACUUAUGCAAGCCUUCUGUCUCUCACUGUAUAACCCCUCCACUUUUAUACGGGUCACACAUGUUUCUGUCACUUUCCUGGAGCCCUUGUAGCAAAUUAAUAACAUGUAGCACAUGCUUGAAGAAAAAUUUGUCUAGGACAUUUUGUUUUUGAGAUUCAUAAAUUGACUCUAUUUUACAUAAGAAUCUAUUAUGCCAUAGGAAGCUUAUUAAACCCUUGAGCAGGAACAAAUUAUUCAAUAAAUGGUGAUGAGAUGAAUGCCU
rnacentral:lncRNA from 10 species